rnacentral:miRNA from 2 species
GUGAGUGGUGAUGAUGAUCAAUAUU